ACUGAGAUAGCUCAGUCAGUAGAGCAUGAGACUCUUAAUCUCAGGAUCAUAGGUUCGAGUUCCACAUUGGGUUCCUGCA